rnacentral:rRNA from 1 species
AGAGUUUGAUCAUGGCUCAGGACGAACGCUGGCGGCGUGCUUAACACAUGCAAGUCGAGCGGUAAGGCCCUUCGGGGUACACGAGCGGCGAACGGGUGAGUAACACGUGGGUGACCUGCCCCCUACUCUGGGAUAAGCCUGGGAAACUGGGUCUAAUACCGGAUAUGACUACAUGUCGCAUGGUGUGUGGUGGAAAGUUUUUUCGGUGGGGGAUGGGCCCGCGGCCUAUCAGCUUGUUGGUGGGGUGAUGGCCUACCAAGGCGACGACGGGUAGCCGGCCUGAGAGGGCGACCGGCCACACUGGGACUGAGACACGGCCCAGACUCCUACGGGAGGCAGCAGUGGGGAAUAUUGCGCAAUGGGCGGAAGCCUGACGCAGCGACGCCGCGUGGAGGAUGACGGCCUUCGGGUUGUAAACCUCUUUCGGCCCCGACGAAGCGUGAGUGACGGUAGGGGUAGAAGAAGCACCGGCCAACUACGUGCCAGCAGCCGCGGUAAUACGUAGGGUGCGAGCGUUGUCCGGAAUUAUUGGGCGUAAAGAGCUCGUAGGCGGUCUGUCGCGUCGGUCGUGAAAACUUGGGGCUUAACCCUGAGCUUGCGGUCGAUACGGGCAUGACUGGAGUUCGGCAGGGGAGACUGGAAUUCCUGGUGUAGCGGUGAAAUGCGCAGAUAUCAGGAGGAACACCGGUGGCGAAGGCGGGUCUCUGGGCCGAUACUGACGCUGAGGAGCGAAAGCGUGGGGAGCGAACAGGAUUAGAUACCCUAGUAGUCC